rnacentral:rRNA from 1 species
GGGUCAGUAGGUUGGUCGUGCCACCGGUACGUACUGGUCUCACUGAUUCCUCAUUCCUGAAGAACCGUAAUGCCAUUAAUUUGGUGUUGCGGGGAAACAGGACUGUUACUUUGAAAAAAUUAGAGUGUUUAAAGCAAGAUAACGCUUGAAUACAUUAGCAUGGAAUAAUGAAAUAGGACGAUCGAUCCUAUUUUGUUGGUUUCUAGGAUUGACGUA